UACGUAGGGGGCAAGCGUUGUCCGGAUUUAUUGGGCGUAAAGAGCGUAUAGGCGGUUAGGUAGGUCCGUUGUGAAAACUCGAGGCUCAACCUCGAGACGCCGAUGGAAACCAUCUGACUAGAGUCCGGAAGAGGAGAGUGGAAUUCCUGGUGUAGCGGUGAAAUGCGCAGAUAUCAGGAAGAACACCCGUGGCUAAGGCGGCUCUCUAGUACGGUACUGACGCUGAGACGCGAAAGCGUGGGGAGCGAACAGG
rnacentral:rRNA from 1 species